rnacentral:rRNA from 1 species
AACAGGAUUAGAUAGCCUGGUAGUCCACGCCGUAAACGAUGAGUGCUAGGUGUUAGGCCCUUUCCGGGGCUUAGUGCCGCAGCUAACGCAUUAAGCACUCCGCCUGGGGAGUACGACCGCAAGGUUGAAACUCAAAGGAAUUGACGGGGGCCCGCACAAGCGGUGGAGCAUGUGGUUUAAUUCGAAGCAACGCGAAGAACCUUACCAGGUCUUGACAUCCCGAUGCUAUUCCUAGAGAUAGGAAGUUUCUUCGGAACAUCGGUGACAGGUGGUGCAUGGUUGUCGUCAGCUCGUGUCGUGAGAUGUCGGGUUAAGUCCCGCAACGAGCGCAACCCCUAUUGUUAGUUGCCAUCAUUAAGUUGGGCACUCUAGCGAGACUGCCGGUAAUAAACCGGAGGAAGGUGGGGAUGACGUCAAAUCAUCAUGCCCCUUAUGACCUGGGCUACACACGUGCUACAAUGGUUGGUACAACGAGUCGCGAGUCGGUGACGGCAAGCAAAUCUCUUAAAGCCAAUCUCAGUUCGGAUUGUAGGCUGCAACUCGCCUACAUGAAGUCGGAAUCGCUAGUAAUCGCGGAUCAGCACGCCGCGGUGAAUACGUUCCCGGGUCUUGUACACACCG